UGAAAUGAGGAAACUCCCUUAGAUAAAGC
rnacentral:piRNA from 1 species